rnacentral:rRNA from 1 species
GCCCACAGUUGCCAGCGUACUCUCUGGAGUGACGGGUACACUGUGGGGACCGCCGCUGCUAAAGCGGAGGAAGGAAUGGGCAACGGUAGGUCAGUAUGCCCCCGAAUAUCCCGGGCUACACGCGAGCUACAAUGGUUGGUACAAUGGGGUAUCUACCCCGAAAGGGGACCGGGAAUCUCCUAAAACCAAUCUUAGUUCGGAUUGAGGGCUGCAACUCGCCCUCAUGAAGCUGGAAUCCGUAGUAAUCGCGUUUCAACAGAACGCGGUGAAUACGUCCCUGCCGUCCUU